CACGUAGGGGGCGAGCGUUGUCCGGAUUUAUUGGGCGUAAAGAGCUCGUAGGCGGUUUCGUAAGUCGGAUGUGAAAACUCCAGCUCAACUUGGAGACGCCAUUCGAUACUGCGAUGACUUGAGUCCGGUAGGGGAGUGUGGAAUUCCUGGUGUAGCGGUGAAAUGCGCAGAUAUCAGGAGGAACACCGGCGGCGAGGGCGGCACUCUGGGCCGGUACUGACGCUGAGGAGCGAAAGCGUGGGUAGCAAACAGG
rnacentral:rRNA from 1 species